GUGACUGCGUACCUUUUGUAUAAUGGGUCAGCGACUUAUAUUCUGUAGCAAGGUUAACCGAAUAGGGGAGCCGAAGGGAAACCGAGUCUUAACUGGGCGUUAAGUUGCAGGGUAUAGACCCGAAACCCGGUGAUCUAGCCAUGGGCAGGUUGAAGGUUGGGUAACACUAACUGGAGGACCGAACCGACUAAUGUUGAAAAAUUAGCGGAUGACUUGUGGCUGGGGGUGAAAGGCCAAUCAAACCGGGAGAUAGCUGGUUCUCCCCGAAAGCUAUUUAGGUAGCGCCUCGUGAAUUCAUCUCCGGGGGUAGAGCACUGUUUCGGCAAGGGGGUCAUCCCGACUUACCAACCCGAUGCAAACUGCGAAUACCGGAGAAUGUUAUCACGGGAGACACACGGCGGGUGCUAACGUCCGUCGUGAAGAGGGAAACAACCCAGACCGCCAGCUAAGGUCCCAAAGUCAUGGUUAAGUGGGAAACGAUGUGGGAAGGCCCAGACAGCCAGGAUGUUGGCUUAGAAGCAGCCAUCAUUUAAAGAAAGCGUAAUAGCUCACUGGUCGAGUCGGCCUGCGCGGAAGAUGUAACGGGGCUAAACCAUGCACCGAAGCUGCGGCAGCGACGCUUAUGCGUUGUUGGGUAGGGGAGCGUUCUGUAAGCCUGUGAAGGUGUGCUGUGAGGCAUGCUGGAGGUAUCAGAAGUGCGAAUGCUGACAUAAGUAACGAUAAAGCGGGUGAAAAGCCCGCUCGCCGGAAGACCAAGGGUUCCUGUCCAACGUUAAUCGGGGCAGGGUGAGUCGACCCCUAAGGCGAGGCCGAAAGGCGUAGUCGAUGGGAAACAGGUUAAUAUUCCUGUACUUGGUGUUACUGCGAAGGGGGGACGGAGAAGGCUAUGUUGGCCGGGCGACGGUUGUCCCGGUUUAAGCGUGUAGGCUGGUUUUCCAGGCAAAUCCGGAAAAUCAAGGCUGAGGCGUGAUGACGAGGCACUACGGUGCUGAAGCAACAAAUGCCCUGCUUCCAGGAAAAGCCUCUAAGCAUCAGGUAACAUCAAAUCGUACCCCAAACCGACACAGGUGGUCAGGUAGAGAAUACCAAGGCGCUUGAGAGAACUCGGGUGAAGGAACUAGGCAAAAUGGUGCCGUAACUUCGGGAGAAGGCACGCUGAUAUGUAGGUGAGGUCCCUCGCGGAUGGAGCUGAAAUCAGUCGAAGAUACCAGCUGGCUGCAACUGUUUAUUAAAAACACAGCACUGUGCAAACACGAAAGUGGACGUAUACGGUGUGACGCCUGCCCGGUGCCGGAAGGUUAAUUGAUGGGGUUAGCGGUAACGCGAAGCUCUUGAUCGAAGCCCCGGUAAACGGCGGCCGUAACUAUAACGGUCCUAAGGUAGCGAAAUUCCUUGUCGGGUAAGUUCCGACCUGCACGAAUGGCGUAAUGAUGGCCAGGCUGUCUCCACCCGAGACUCAGUGAAAUUGAACUCGCUGUGAAGAUGCAGUGUACCCGCGGCAAGACGGAAAGACCCCGUGAACCUUUACUAUAGCUUGACACUGAACAUUGAGCCUUGAUGUGUAGGAUAGGUGGGAGGCUUUGAAGUGUGGACGCCAGUCUGCAUGGAGCCGACCUUGAAAUACCACCCUUUAAUGUUUGAUGUUCUAACGUUGACCCGUAAUCCGGGUUGCGGACAGUGUCUGGUGGGUAGUUUGACUGGGGCGGUCUCCUCCUAAAGAGUAACGGAGGAGCACGAAGGUUGGCUAAUCCUGGUCGGACAUCAGGAGGUUAGUGCAAUGGCAUAAGCCAGCUUGACUGCGAGCGUGACGGCGCGAGCAGGUGCGAAAGCAGGUCAUAGUGAUCCGGUGGUUCUGAAUGGAAGGGCCAUCGCUCAACGGAUAAAAGGUACUCCGGGGAUAACAGGCUGAUACCGCCCAAGAGUUCAUAUCGACGGCGGUGUUUGGCACCUCGAUGUCGGCUCAUCACAUCCUGGGGCUGAAGUAGGUCCCAAGGGUAUGGCUGUUCGCCAUUUAAAGUGGUACGCGAGCUGGGUUUAGAACGUCGUGAGACAGUUCGGUCCCUAUCUGCCGUGGGCGCUGGAGAACUGAGGGGGGCUGCUCCUAGUACGAGAGGACCGGAGUGGACGCAUCACUGGUGUUCGGGUUGUCAUGCCAAUGGCACUGCCCGGUAGCUAAAUGCGGAAGAGAUAAGUGCUGAAAGCAUCUAAGCACGAAACUUGCCCCGAGAUGAGUUCUCCCUGACUCCUUGAGAGUCCUGAAGGAACGUUGAAGACGACGACGUUGAUAGGCCGGGUGUGUAAGCGCAGCGAUGCGUUGAGCUAACCGGUACUAAUGAACCGUGAGGCUUAACCUUACAACGCCGAAG
rnacentral:rRNA from 1 species